GUGCGAAGGGAGGACACCGACAGAGAAUCCCUUGGGUCAACGAGCGCCGAGAGCAACCGAGCAUCCCCGUGGUGAGGACGACGGUGCCAGGAGCAGCACGGAGAGUGAGAUAGCAUCCCCCGGAGGUACGGAUCCCCACGGAGAGCGGCGGAGCAUCCCCGGGGUGAGAAAGGAAGACACGGACAGAG